AUUGAACGCUAGCGGCAGGCCUAACACAUGCAAGUCGAACGAGUGGCGGACGGGUGAGUACUGUCUGGGAAACUGCCUGAUGGAGGGGGAUAACUACUGGAAACGGUAGCUAAUACCGCAUACCAUCAGAUGUGCCCGGAUGGGAUUAGCUCGUUGGUGGGGUAACUGCUCACCAAGGCGACGAUCCCUAGCUGGGCUGAGAGGAUGACCAGACACACUGGAACUGAGACACGGUCCAGACUCCUACGUGAGGCAGCAGGGGGGAAGAUUGCACAAUGGGCGGAAGCCUGAUGCAGCGAUGCCGCGUGUAUGAAGAAGGCCUUCGGGUUGUAAAGUACUUUCAGCGGGGAGGCGGUACCCGCAGAAGAAGCACCGGCUAACUCCGUGCCAGCCGCCGCGGUAAUAC
rnacentral:rRNA from 1 species